ACUCGACGCUUUCAAAGCAAGGCAUUGCUUUGGAAUACAUUAAGAUGGAUAGCAUCAUAGGAUUUUUUUUUGCGAUACCUUAGGGAUCAGAGUGAUGAUUAAUAAGGAUAGUUUGGGGUAUAUGUAUUUUAUGUCAGAGGUGAUUUUUUUUAGAUUUAUGAAAGACGAACAACUGCAAAAGCAUUUGUCGAUAAUACUCCCUCU
rnacentral:ncRNA from 1 species